rnacentral:rRNA from 1 species
GAGUUUGAUCCUGGCUCAGGACGAACGCUGGCGGCGCGCCUAACACAUGCAAGUCGAACGAGCGAGAGAGAGCUUGCUUUCUCGAGCGAGUGGCGAACGGGUGAGUAACGCGUGAGGAACUUGCCUCAUACAGGGGGAUAACAGUUGGAAACGACUGCUAAUACCGCAUAAGCGCACAGGAUCGCAUGAUCUGGUGUGAAAAACUCCGGUGGUAUGAGAUGGACCCGCGUCUGAUUAGCCAGUUGGCAGGGUAACGGCCUACCAAAGCGACGAUCAGUAGCCGACCUGAGAGGGCGACCGGCCACAUUGGGACUGAGACACGGCCCAAACUCCUACGGGAGGCAGCAGUGGGGAAUAUUGCACAAUGGGGGAAACCCUGAUGCAGCGACGCCGCGUGAGCGAAGAAGUAUUUCGGUAUGUAAAGCUCUAUCAGCAGGGAAGAAGAAUGACGGUACCUGACUAAGAAGCACCGGCUAAAUACGUGCCAGCCGCCGCGGUAAUUC